UAUUUCGGAAAAACUAAAUACUCCCAUAUUAAAGAACGCACUCAAACACUCUAGAAGAGUUCUCAACUUACUUGCGUGUAGGGAUGCCAACAGGUCGGAUUCAAGGCGGAUUUUGAAAAAUCCAAAUCCGAACUCGACGAAUUUUAAAAAUCCAUAUCUAAUCCUAAACCCGACUAAAAAUUCGAAACUCGAACCCAAAAAUCCGAACCCGAAAUAAUUAUUUCUCUUUACAAUAUUUCAAAAUAUGUUACAUUAAAUCUAAAUUUUUUAAAUGCAAAUUCAAAUACAACAUCAAAUACACACACACACACACACACACACACACACACACACACACAUAUAUAUAUAUAUAUAUAUAUAUAUAUAUAAUUCCGGGUUCGUGUUAGGUUCAGAUUUAGAUCGGUCACAAUCAAAAUCUAUAUCUGAAUCCAAAUCCAUCGGACUUCCGUUUUUUAUAUCCAUAUCCGAAACUGUAUUUAUUUAGCAUCGAGUAAAUCAAUUCCGUUCGGAUUCGAGUUCGGGUAAAAUUUUGGGUGUCUUGUGGAAAAAGUUGGCCUCAUGUUACUUUUAACAAUCAAAUACUAAAAAUUAUACUCCACCACCAGCUGUAUCUUUGCUUAAUUCUAUUAUUUUUUUUAAAAAAAAUUACUAUUGAUUGACUUAUUAGUUAUUUAUCAAUUUUCUCUACUGUACUUUAGAAUUUUCUUCUGAUACUAAGUUGUACAUUUUAUCAUUUUAGACAAAAAUUAGCAAUUAUUUUACGAGACACUUAUAUAUUGGUGGAUUAAAAAAAAAAAAAAGAAGCAUCUAGAGAGAUCUAUCAAAAUCCUAUGUCAAGUUAUUUUCAACUAUUUUUUUCUACUAUUUAUAGAUGCUUUCUUAUUUGUUUUUUCUGAACAUGGGCUAAAGAUCUAACUAACUCUCCUACUUCCAACCAACCUCUUUUUUUUUUUUUUUUUUUUUUAACUCCCCUAAAUCCAACCAACACUUGAUAGUGGUGUAUAAAACGAACGUGGUAAAUCAGAAAGUAAGAAAAUUUUUUAAGAAUAUAUAAGCAAUUGCCCGAAUAAACUAACACCAACAACGCGUGCAAAGUACUCAAAGAUAAGAAUACAAAAGGAAACACGGGAAGGGUACUACUUGAGACAAAAGUAUAUCAUGCUAUAUAUCAAGCUUUGCACAUGGUAUAUUUGUAUACACACGCAAGCACACACGUACACAUGAUGAUGAACUUAGCAAAAUCAAGCUGGAAAUUGAACGGUUGUGGUCGAAGAGGAGGCCCAUCUCACGUGAAGUUUUUGGAAAGUAUAUACCUACAUACACCCAACAAAUGCAAUGGGUAGUACAACUCAACUUUAAUUUGAGUACACUAUGGGCAUGUUUGUUUCAACGUAAGUAGACUUGGGGUGGAAGUGGACUUUGGGUUGAAGUGGAGUUGGGGUGAAAAUUAGUUCACUUCUGCUGUUUGUUUUUAACUGUGGAAGUGCAGUUCUGCGAGUUCUGUUGUUUGUUUGGUAGGAAAUAGAUGACGUAAAAAGUGUAGCUCUCCACCCCCGGUAUACUUACCUCCAAAGUCAUAUUAUUGUCUAUUUUAUAACUUAUAGUGAAUAAUAAAUUAUAAUAAAUAAAAAUUAAUAUAAUUAUAUAUGUAUAUAAUUAUAUAUAUGUAUAAUUAUAAAAUAAAAUUUUAAAAAAUUAUAUUAUUUGUUUGCAUAUAAAUUAUAAUAAUGCAACAAAUAAAAUUCUAAAGUUAAAAAAUUAUUAACAUUUAACAAAUUUAUUUUUCAUCAUUUUCUAAAUAUACAAAUUAAACAAAAAAUAUAUUAAAGCUUACCUAAUCAAAUUUGAUCAUAUUUUAGACAUACAAUCAAAAUAAAAAAUUUAAUUAUUUUCACAAUUGAAUAUAUUUGGAUGAAAUGAAGAGGUAACCCUAACACAUUAAUACAUUCUUGCCUUUUUUUCACUUCACCGAAAUUGACUUCGCCCCAUGGGAGGGCGAAGUCAAGUUCCUUAUUUUGGGUGAACUGAACUUUCGGGCGUAAUAAACUUACGAUGAACCAAAUAGCGAAAGUGGUUAGUUUUCACCGAAAAUCACUUUCCCCGUCCCACUUCCACCCCACUUCCGUCGAAACAAACAGGCCCUAUGCGUUGGAAAGGGAAAUUAAUGCAUGCAUUAAUUGGGUUCCUAACAAAUAACUCGCCAUAUAUAUAGUAUCCAUGUGUUGGCAAAUCCAUAGUGUGUAUAUAUAUCGCCAUAUAUAUAGUAUCCAUGUGUUGGCAAAUCCAUAGUGUGUAUAUAUAUCGCCAUAUAUAUAGUAUCCAUGUGUUGGCAAAUCCAUAGUGUGUAUAUAUAUCGCCAUAUAUAUAGUAUCCAUGUGUUGGCAAAUCCAUAGUGUGUGUAUAUAUAUAUAUACAGCAAAGUUACUGUACGAUCAAAAGUAUAGAGGAUCUAGUGAUUUCUAACUUUUUAGCCCUCAGAUCAGUUCCUCUAAUCAUUUCUAACCUUUAGAUUAAUACUAAUAAUACCCUGUGGAAACCACUCAACCCUAGAAAUACUACUCAACCCUAGGGAGACCGCAAUCAUCCCAAUCGUAUAAUUCUUGAUCCAAGGGUGAAAAAUUCGAAAGUAUUAAAUCCUUUAUACUUUCAAUAGUAUAAUAGCUUUACACACACAUACACACGCAUAUAUAUAUAUAUAUAUAUAUAUAUAUAUAUAUAUAUAUAUAGAGAGAGAGAGAGAGAGAGAGAGAGAGAGAGAGAGAGAGAGAGUAGGGCUACUAUACUCUUAUGAGUAUUAGGUCCUUCGUACUCAUAAGUUAUUUUUAAUGAUGAAGUCUUCGAAUUGACGAUCCACUUCGUUAAAUAUGAUUAGAGUAUUUGAAACUUCUAAAAAAUAAAUUUCCUAAUUUUUUGAAAUCAUAAUGAAGUCUAUCAAGCAGGUAUAAGAUGAACAGUCAAAAUGGAACGACGUCCUAAAAAUGGAUGAUCGGAUCCUUCAAUUUAAGAUCAAAGUUAUUGAUCUUUAUCUAGGUAGUGAAUAGAAUUAUCUAUCAAAAAUUCAAUAGAUUCUAAUUCUUUUACACCGUUAAACUAGCAAGUAUUUCAAAUCGACCAUUAAAAAUUGUCAAUUUUGUGACUUUUUGAUCGUAAAUGAUGCCGAAAAAUUAUGAAAUUUGAUUUCUAGAAGUUUUAAAUACUCUAGAUAAUGUUUAACGGUAUGGAUCGUCAAUUCGCAAGCUCUAUCAUCAAAAACGACUUAUGAGAAUAAAAGCGAUUGUAUUCACAAGAGUAUAGCAGCCGAACUCUAUAUAAUUAUAUCUUUUUUGUACCUUUCGGUAGCGUUUGGAUUUGGUACAAGAAGGGGGAUAAGGAGGUUAUCCCCCCUCUUAUACCCAAACAGGAAAUGGGUGGGUGGGUAGGAGGGUGCGGUGCGAACAGUUGCUUCCACUCCAUUUACCCGGUCAUAUAUGAGGUACCUAAGUAUUUCCCACCAUACCCGGUAUGUAUGGGUAGGAACAACUUGUUCCCACCUACCGGUAUGUAUGGGUACCAAGUAUUCCCACCCAUACCCGGUAUGUAUGGGUAGGAACAACUUGUUCCCACCCAGGGGUGGGAACAAGCUCCACCCCCCCCCCCCCCCCCGGUCGAGAGAGAGAGAGAAAGAGAGAGAGAGAGAUUUAUUUUAAAUUUAAAUUAAAUUUUUAAAAUUUAUAAUCUCAAAAUUAAUUAUAAAUUUUAAAGUUUAAAUUUUAAAUUUGAUAUUUUUAAAUUUUAAAUUUUAAAUUUGAUAUUUUUAAAUUUUAAAUUUGAUAUUUUAUAUCUUUCAAAUUUAAAUUUAGUCUUAAAUUUAGAAUUUAAAAUUUAAAAUUUAUAAAUUUGAAUUUUUAAAUUUUAAUUUCAAAUUUUAAAAUUUAAAAGUUAAAAUUUUCAAUUUAAAAUUAUAAGUUUAAAAUUUAAAAAUUUAAAUUCAAUUAUAGGGGUAAUAUCAUUAUUUUCUAUUUAUAGCCAUCAACUAUUUCUGUUAUUUCCAAUAACCAUCAAAACACAAUUUUUCUACUUCCAGCUUAUACUCACAUUUUCAUCCAAACAAAAAAAUACCCUUAUUAUUACAAAAAAAACUCAUACUUGUACCUAUUUCCGGUAUAACUAAUUCCUACUAAUUUCCAAACCAAAUGAAGCCUUUAUAUGUUCUGCUUAUCAGCAACUUAUAAGAAAAGCAUUCAUAGAGACAUACAAUGGUACUCUUAUUGAAUGAAUAAAUAUUUUAUUUAAAAUAUAGCUGAAAUUUAAAGUGCUUGAUCUAAUGUCUAAAAUGAAAUAUUAUAUUCGACUUUCACGUUAUCUUUUUCGAAAUAAUUAAGAAAAUUCAUCUCCCAAGUAAAAUAUAUAUAGUAUCCUUCCAAAUCGUGAAUAUCAUUAUCUUAAUUCAAAGAGCAAACUUAGACAAACUCCCACAAUCAUAAUAUAUAUAUUUUUUAUUUUGAAUAAAAUAUUUUUUUUUAUUUUCUGAUUCUAGCGUCCAAACGAAACGCGAUUUUCCUAACUAGGAUAAAAAUUCUUUUGUUACUUAUGUAAGGUUACUUCAAUCUAUUUCUAAUAUAUUCCUAGAGUUAAAAUCUUUUAAUUAACUCUGUUAUCUCUGUAAAAUUACUAUUUUGCCCUUUCAAAUAUACCCUUCGACAAUCACUUUCUUUCUUAUUUGUCCUUAAAGUCAGGGGCACAAAAAGUAUUUUAACUUUUGGUCUUUUCCAAUAUAUUCCUCUACCGUCACCAACCUUUCUUAUUUGCCCUUAAGUUAAGGACAAAAUUGGCAUUUUAAUUUUUUUUAAUUGUGGUAGAUAUUUAACUCACAUUUAACCCAGGUUAACUUAACAGGAGAUAACUGCGGAGGUAUUUUGCAAUAACGAUGGAACAUAUGAGAAAUAUUUAAAAAAGAAAAAAAAGUAAAAAUAAAUCGAAUAUUUUCAAACGUAUGAGAAGUAUAUAGACAAUUAUCCCUAAUAUUUAAGUGUCGCACUGGAGGAGUACUCUCUGUCUAGCUAGUACAAUGAUGUAUUUUCCAAUUCUUAUUUGCAAGAAAAAUGAUUUUUUGUGGAGAUUAAUUAUUUGUGGCUAAGUAAUUAGUGCACCCCACCUUGCUUUUGUUGUGAUAUUUCAUUUUCUAUAUAUUUCUAUACGAGUACGUCUUCUGUACUUUCAAGAAUACGGAGAUCUCCAUACUUAUAAAUUCUUUUCAAUGACAGGACAGACGAUUUGACGGCUCUAUUAGUUAUAAUCUAUGCUAUUAGAAUUAUUUAAAAUUAAAUUUUAUAAUUUUUUUAACAUCAUUUAUCAAGUGAUCAAAACGUCUCAAAAAUGACCAUUUUAAUGAUUGAUGUGGCAUGUUUUUAAGUUCAAUGGUAUAGAACAAUUCAAAUUACGUGAAACUUUAAUAGAAAAUUUUACUUAAUAUCAAAUAGUAAGAUCAAUACUUCUUAUUUAAAUUGAGUUUUUUAUCACCAUUUUUUAUGAGAUUUUUAUUUUUAGCCGUUUAUUUUGAGGCUACGAGGCUACGAGACUACUCGUUCACUAAGCAAAUGAAGUCAAAAAAUUAUGAAAUUUGGUUUCUAAAUAGUUCUAAUAGUAUAUAUCAUAUUUAACAGAACUGAUCGCCGAAUCGAAUACCCUAUCAUCUAAAAUAAUUUAUAAACACGAAUGCUUCCAUACUUUCGAAAGCAUAGGUGCCUAACUCUAUAUAUAAAUAUGUAUAUAAAGUACUAAGCUAUCAGUACCAAACGGGCUCAGUUGCCACCCAUUUAUUUUUUAUAAUGAAACUUUGAAAUCGACGAUCGGCACCGUUGAAUAUAAUUUAUACCACUUGAAACAUCUUUUUUUGAUAUUAUUCUUUUAUUCAUCAAAUAGACACAAAAAGAAAUGAAUAUCUUUUAAAAAUGUUGAUAGAAAUCUUGUGAUCAAGAUGAAGAGUAUAAAUUUUGUUUUAAAUAGUUUAAAGAGAAUUUUUUAACCAAAAUUCAAUUGUAUCUUUAUGCCGUUAAACAAGAAAACGUCUCAAAUUGACCAUUAAAAUUAUAAAUUUUGAAACCCUUUGAUUAUUAGGUCAAUGAUAUCGAAAAGAUUUGAAAUUUAGUUUUUAGAUAAUUCAAGUGAUAUAAAUCAUAUUCAACAAUGCCUAUCGUCGAUUUGGAGACUUCAUCGUUAAAAAUAAAUAGGUGGUAAUGGAGCUCAUUUUUUACUGAUAGUAUUCCAACUCAACUCUAUAUAUACAUAGAAUAGAGAGAGAGAGUCUGGCUAUGGUGUUUUUAAAAGCACCAAGUAUAUAUUUGGUGCUUGUAGUUUCUUAUUGUUAGAUUUAUUCCUUUGACCAAUUUCACCUCCAACCAUCCACUCAAUCUUAGGGAAUUAUUAUCAUCAUAACCGUACAUUUCUUAAUCCAAGGGAAGAAAAAGUAUAAGCACCAACAACUCGGUAAUUUUAAAAGUAUAAGAGCUCAAUUAUAUAUAUAUAUAUAUAUAUAUUCUCAAGAGUCUUAACUAUUCAAAAGGCUUGCUUGGUUCACCUAUUUUAAACUCUAAAAUUAAAAUGAGAUUUAGUACUGAUUCAACGGUUUAUAUAUUCAAAAUCUUAACCGUGGUUUUGGUUAAUAAUUAAGUGGAGUAUGAUCCUAGUCUCAUAACUUAUUGGAUUCAAACUAAUUGGACCCGAUCUUGUGGAUUCGACCCGAAUUUCCCACACUAUAUAAUUUAUAUUUACAGUAUCCCCCUUUGAAUUCGCCUCCAUGUUCAAAAUUAUAUAUAACUCAUCUUCUAAUAUGAAGUGUAAUAUACUUAUUAUUAGGCUCUUAUAUAUAUUCUCUCGGAGAUAUCAUGUAACAUGUUUAGUACAUAAGUCUCAUAAUAAAAAAAAUUAUAUGUGUACUUUUUGUGCCCCUCGUUAACACAAUAAUAUUGCACUAGAUAAAGCAAUGAUGAUGGACCAUGAAUUGUACACCUGGCUAGUAUAAUUUGUCAUCACUAUAUCAUUUAGAAGGAUAAUAUAUAUAUAUAUAUAUAUAUAUAUAUAUAUAUAUAUAUAUAUAUAUAGAGAGAGAGAGAGAGAGAGAGAGAGAGAGAGAGAGAGAGAGAGAGAGAAGCACGAUGCCAAACGAUGUCUGAAAUUUUGAUUUAAUUAAUUACUUAUUCCGACAUAAUACGCAUUUUUUAUAAAGUUCGGCUAUGAUGCUUUUAAUAAUACAUAAAUAGUAUUGUAACAUUUUAUUAUUAAUAUGAAUUUUAAUAACUUUUGCAUAACCUAUACUUGCAUUUAUAGUUGUGCAAGUAAAGUUACCAUUUCAUUUAGUUUGUAUUCAUUGUGAACUUAUAUUUGAACCUAAAUAUAAGUUCGUUUACGCAUGUAAACUCCUACGGCACUAACUAUGUAACCUAUGGGUUUAAUACUCUUAUAACCUAUAGAUUUGUAUGCCUAUAUAAAGAGGGCUUCUCUAUUCACUUUCAUAUAACUCAACAAAGACAACAAAUUUAUUUCUAUUAUACUUGAGAGAGAGAAGGUCAAAGAAAGAUAUUUUUUUUUGUGGACCUUUGGGCUCAUCUACUUGUGUAGAGUUGAUGAAGCCACACGACAAGAGUCGAGCCAUUGUAUCCUGGAGGAGACAAGUCGGUGCUCUCCUGCAUCGGUUCAAAAGCUUUACCAAGCGGAGAGGGUUUGAAUCUCCUUAAAGAUAGCGAGAUAUCCGUGCCUCGGCUUGAUCGACUCGUUGACACUUUUUAAAUUAUUUUGUAGCUAACCUCUAUUUUUUAAAUAUUUACACCAACAAUAUAUAUACUGUCAACUUUUUAGCUCUUAGAUUAGAUAAUAUUCCACCUACGUGCGUACCCCUACUAAAUCUUAGAUAUCUGGCCAAGGAUUAAAAAAUUAGAAGCGAGAAUUAUUCAUAUAUAUGCUAGGAGAAACACUCCAGCUAGGCACUAUUAUUAUUAUUAUUAUUAUACAUAUUGUGCAGAUUUUAUGGA
rnacentral:lncRNA from 1 species